UACAGAGGGUGCAAGCGUUGUUCGGAAUUAUUGGGCGUAAAGGGCGCGUAGGCGGUGCCACAAGUCACCUGUGAAAUCUCCGGGCUUAACUCGGAGCCUGCAGGCGAAACUGUGGUGCUGGAGUGUGGGAGAGGUGCGUGGAAUUCCCGGUGUAGCGGUGGAAUGCGUAGAGAUCCGGAAGAACACCGGUGGCGAAGGCGGCCCGCUGGGCAGAGACUGACGCUG
rnacentral:rRNA from 1 species